rnacentral:rRNA from 1 species
UACGUAGGGGGCUAGCGUUGUCCGGAAUCAUUGGGCGUAAAGCGCGUGUAGGCGGCCCGGUAAGUCCGCUGUGAAAGUCGGGGGCUCAACCCUCGGAUGCCGGUGGAUACUGUCGGGCUAGAGUACGGAAGAGGUGAGUGGAAUUCCCAGUGUAGCGGUGAAAUGCGUAGAUAUUGGGAGGAACACCAGUGGCGAAGGCGGCUCACUGGACGUGGUACUGACGCUGAGGCGCGAAAGCGUGGGGAGCAAACGGGG